AGCGUAAGCUAGUAAGACCCCUGGAAGACUACCAGGUUGAUAGGUCAGAGGUGUAAGCGUGGUAACAUGUUAAGCUGACUGAUACUAAUAGGUCGAGGGCUUGAUCAA
rnacentral:rRNA from 1 species